rnacentral:sRNA from 1 species
CAACACAAACUCUCUUUGUUAUCUUGUUUGUAAAUACAUUUUUUUUGAUCAGAAAUGAACAUGACAACACUCAUAGCUAGUGUUGCAUGCGUAACUGUUGGGUUGAUCCUUUUGUUCAUCUGCUGCUGUGUUAGAUGUAAAAACAAAAGCUGCAAUAUUUGUUUAUGCUUUUUAAAACUUAUAAGGGUAUCUACAAGAGUUAAAGAACACAAAGAUUGUCAAGAUCAGUCUUCUUCCUGUUUAAAUAGAAAUCAUUUAAGAAAUCAAGUAAAAUCCAUACAGAAUCAUGAAACACCGACUGAAUUUAAUGACACAGACUAUGCACGUUCAGUUUUGGCGAAUGAAGGCUGGCGUGGUGAGAGACUUAAGCAAUACGUGAUUCUGUAUGAGAAACAAAAACAGACUACCAAGAAUAUCUUAGAAGACUUUCCUCAGCACGUGCGAGUCUCUGGUGAUGGUGAAGAAGGUUUCCAUGCUACCCAGAAAGCACUUGAAGUAGUCAAUUCUAAAGUAAAAGCUGAGAUCUAUCAAGCACCGCCAAAUAUCAGCUAGAGUUAAUAAAAAAAAGUAAUAGUAAUAAUAA